UGCCAGAACCGUGUUCCUGGUCAUCCAAUCUAUAAAGUCGGGCACAAUUUAACUGGUUUUAACAACAUUUUAGAAGGUGGGAUAGUCCCUUUAACUUGAAAUUGACUCUCUUGACAGAUGAAAGAUCUCCACCACGAUCAUCUGGUGCGGUUCAUCGGUAUGAGCAUCGAGUCGCCGCACCAGGCCAUCUUUACCGAGUACUGCCCCAAAGGCAGUCUGCAAGACAUCCUGGAGAACGAGCAGAUCAAGCUGGACUGGAUGUUCCGCUACAGUUUGAUGCAUGACAUUGUCAAGGGCAUGGCGUACCUGCACAGCAGUGAGAUCCGGGUCCACUCCAAACUCAAAUCGUCCAACUGCGUGGUCGACAGUCGAUUCGUGCUGAAAAUAACCGACUUUGGUCUGCAUCAGCUCGACACGGACGACGAAAACCAAAACCUCGACUCGUAUGUGUAUUGGAAACGACGAUUAUGGACGGCUCCUGAGCUCCUGCGAACCGCGCAGCCCAUGGGCCACAUCCGCGGCACGCAGAAGGGAGACGUCUACUCAUUCGCCAUCAUCGUUCAGGAGAUCAUCAUGCGCAUGGGACCGUUCUUUGUGCACAACGAGAUAUCGCCAAAAGAGAUCGUCGAGAACGUGCGGAACGGCCAGAAGCCGCCGUUCCGGCCGGCCAUCGACGACGACAUGGCCGACGAGGAGGUACUGCAGAUGAUGCGACGCUGCUGGUCGGAGGACCCCGUCGACCGUCCCGACUUCCACGCGCUCAAAGGCAUCAUCCGGCGACUGAACAAAGACAAUGAAAGCGGGAACAUUCUGGAUAACCUGCUCUCCCGGAUGGAACAGUACGCCAACAACCUGGAGGCCCUGGUGGAGGAGCGCACUGCGGACUACCUCGACGAGAAGAGAAAAUGCGAAGAGCUUCUCUACCAGCUGCUGCCAAAGUCGGUGGCCAGUCAGCUGAUUGCCGGGAAGUCGGUGGUGGCGGAACACUACGACAGCGUCACCAUCUACUUCAGCGACAUCGUGGGCUUCACGGCCAUCUCGGCAGAGUCGACCCCGAUGCAGGUGGUAGAUCUUCUAAACGACCUGUACACUUGUUUCGACUCAAUCAUAGAAAGCUAUGACGUCUACAAGGUUGAGACGAUCGGCGACGCCUACAUGGUGGUCUCGGGUCUGCCGGUGCGAAACGGCAUCAAGCACGCCGGAGAGAUUGCCGGCAUGUCCUUGGCCAUGCUGGAGGCAGUGCAGAGCUUCAAGAUCCGACACCGGCCCGGACAGCAGCUCAAGCUGCGCAUCGGUCUACACACGGGUCCCGUGGUGGCCGGUGUGGUAGGCCUCAAAAUGCCUCGCUACUGCCUCUUCGGGGACACCGUCAACACUUCAUCACGGAUGGAAUCCAACGGACUGCCACUGCGGAUACACGUGAGCUCCACCACCAAGGAGGCGCUCGACAAACUCGGCAUGUUCCAGCUGGACCUUCGCGGCGAGGUUGAAAUGAAGGGUAAGGGCAAGAUGGUCACCUACUGGCUCCGACACAAGGAACCCACAGCCACCGACUUGAUUGAUAUUGACGGCGUGGAUCUACGAGAAACAAAGGUGUGACACUCGCGCCGUGAGACGGCGGUGUGAUUCUCGCGUCGACAGACUCCGUGAGCGAGAGGGCACCGCGUGCCGCCGAGGGCACGUGCCGACAUGUUGGCACACGUCUAACCUGAUCUGGGGGCGCCCGGCGGACGGGCGAGCGUCCGGCGGAGUUAUGUGCGAGUCUGCGUGACCUGAUGCUGUCUUCGGCUCACUCCGGUGCGCUCUGUAGUUUCACAUCGUGAUCGAUUCUCAGUGCGACUGUGCGACGCCGCGCCCCCUUCACGCAAUGUUUCGAGACGCCUGGGAGGCACCUAGGGCGAAUGAUAUGAUGUGUUGCUCUCUUGUUGACGAUUCAUACCUUUAGCGUGUGUUGACUGGCUCGGCGUGUGUGACCGUUGUUUCGUUCAGCUGCGCCGCGGCGCAUCUGAGCGCUCCUUCCGAUGUGAUUCUCGUGACAGCUCGCUGGUCGCGGGUGCUGUCUGCGUCGUUAUUGUUCGCUGUUCAAGGGCCGGUUACCGGCAACACAGAACCAUUGUCACGCGCACAGAGACGCGGGCGAGCGUCUCGAGAGUGACGGACGGAGCUUCUGAAGCGGGUACCUAACCGAACAGGCGGCGGAGAGCGCGCGACUGUUGAAACUCCAGCCCGGCCGUCGGUGUCUGUGACGGGCCCUCGCUGUGCGUGACGGAAAUGUGACACUUGGUGAUGACGUCACGUGACGUGUCGUGACGCUGGUGAUGUGUUGCGCAGUGACGUCAUACGGCGUGGUGUGAUGUCCGCAGAGCGCGGCGGACGUCACAGGGUAACGCGCGCGUGUGUGAGAGCGAGCGAGUGCCAACUCACUGUGAGAGAAAACUGUCUGUCAUCAGUGUCUGGUUGAUAUGGGCACAAAGCAAGGCGCUGGAGUUUGUUUUAUACAUGGAGGUAGAUAAAUAUACAUACCUUGUCUUA
rnacentral:misc_RNA from 1 species